rnacentral:rRNA from 1 species
AACGUAGGAGGCGAGCGUUAUCCGGAUUUACUGGGCGUAAAGGGCAAGUAGGCGGUAGCUCAAGUUGGAUGUGACAUCUCCCGGCUUAACUGGGAGGGUGCGUACAAUACUAGGUUACUAGAGGGCAGAAGAGGAGAGUGGAACUCCUAGUGUAGCGGUGGAAUGCUCAGAUACUAGGAAGAACACCAGUGGCGAAGGCGACUCUCUGGUCUGUACCUGACGCUGAGAGGCGAAAGCUAGGGGAGCGAACGGGCUUAGAUACCCCGGUAGUCCUAGCUGUAAACGUUGGAUACUGGGUAUUGGGGGCGAAAAAACCUUCAGUGCCGAAGCAAACGCGUUAAGUAUCCCGCCUGGGGACUACGGCCGCAAGGUUA